rnacentral:rRNA from 1 species
GACGAACGCUGGCGGCGUGCUUAACACAUGCAAGUCGAGCGGCAAGGCCUUUCGGGGUACACGAGCGGCGAACGGGUGAGUAACACGUGGGUGAUCUGCCCUGCACUUCGGGAUAAGCCUGGGAAACUGGGUCUAAUACCGGAUAUGACCUCCUAUCGCAUGGUGGGUGGUGGAAAGAUUUAUCGGUGCAGGAUGGGCCCGCGGCCUAUCAGCUUGUUGGUGGGGUAAUGGCCUACCAAGGCGACGACGGGUAGCCGACCUGAGAGGGUGACCGGCCACACUGGGACUGAGACACGGCCCAGACUCCUACGGGAGGCAGCAGUGGGGAAUAUUGCACAAUGGGCGAAAGCCUGAUGCAGCGACGCCGCGUGAGGGAUGACGGCCUUCGGGUUGUAAACCUCUUUCAGCAGGGACGAAGCGCAAGUGACGGUACCUGCAGAAGAAGCACCGGCUAACUACGUG